AAUAGAUACCCUGGUAGUCCACGCCGUAAACGUUGGGCGCUAGAUGUGGGGGACCAUUCCACGGUUUCCGUGUCGCAGCUAACGCAUUAAGCGCCCCGCCUGGGGAGUACGGCCGCAAGGCUAAAACUCAAAGGAAUUGACGGGGGCCCGCACAAGCGGCGGAGCAUGCGGAUUAAUUCGAUGCAACGCGAAGAACCUUACCAAGGCUUGACAUAUACGAGAACGCUCUAGAAAUAGGGAAACUCUUUGGACACUCGUAUACAGGUGGUGCAUGGUUGUCGUCAGCUCGUGUCGUGAGAUGUUGGGUUAAGUCCCGCAACGAGCGCAACCCUCGUUCUAUGUUGCCAGCGGUUCGGCCGGGAACUCAUAGGAGACUGCCGGGGUCAACUCGGAGGAAGGUGGGGAUGACGUCGAAAUCAUCAUGCCCCUUAUGUCUUGGGCUUCACGCAUGCUACAAUGGCCGGUACAAAGGGCUGCAAUCCGUAAGGUGGAGCGAAUCCCAAAAAGCCGGUCUCAGUUCGGAUUGAGGU
rnacentral:rRNA from 1 species